rnacentral:rRNA from 1 species
GACGAACGCUGGCGGCGUGCUUAACACAUGCAAGUCGAACGAAGAGCGAUGGAAGCUUGCUUCUAUCAAUCUUAGUGGCGAACGGGUGAGUAACGCGUAAUCAACCUGCCCUUCAGAGGGGGACAACAGUUGGAAACGACUGCUAAUACCGCAUACGAUCUAAUCUCGGCAUCGAGGAUAGAUGAAAGGUGCCUCUACAUGUAAGCUAUCACUGAAGGAGGGGAUUGCGUCUGAUUAGCUAGUUGGAGGGGUAACGGCCCACCAAGGCGAUGAUCAGUAGCCGGUCUGAGAGGAUGAACGGCCACAUUGGGACUGAGACACGGCCCAGACUCCUACGGGAGGCAGCAGUGGGGAAUCUUCCGCAAUGGACGAAAGUCUGACGGAGCAACGCCGCGUGAGUGAUGACGGCCUUCGGGUUGUAAAGCUCUGUUAAUCGGGACGAAAGGCCUUCUUGCGAAUAGUGAGAAGGAUUGACGGUACCGGAAUAGAAAGCCACGGCUAACUACGUG